rnacentral:rRNA from 1 species
UACGAAGGGGGCUAGCGUUGCUCGGAAUGACUGGGCGUAAAGGGCUCGUAGGCGGCCAACUAAGUCGGAUGUGAAAUCCCCAAGCUUAACUUGGGAACUGCAUCCGAUACUGGAUGGCUUGAAUCCGGGAGAGGGAUGCAGAAUUCCAGGUGUAGCGGUGAAAUGCGUAGAUAUCUGGAGGAAUACCGGUGGCGAAGGCGGCAUCCUGGACCGGCAUUGACGCUGAUGAGCGAAAGCUAGGGGAGCAAACGGG